rnacentral:tRNA from 1 species
GCCUCCUUAGCUCAGUUGGUAGAGCAACGGAUUCUUAAUCCGUGGGUCGUAGGUUCAAAUCCUACAGGAGGUACCA